CCUUUAGCAUUCACACCAUUUGUGCCAGCAUUGGUAUUUCCAUUAGCUGCUUCCACAGAAAGAGGCUUUUGAUCAGCAGCUACAGAUGUGGAAUUAUCACCCUGAGGAUGGGCAGCAGAAGUUGGCGUGAAUGGCCCACUGGUUGGUGUCAACGGCUGAAAAAAGGGAGGAUACUGAUAGUGUUGAGGGCCAUACAACUGACCAUCAUUUCCCAUGGUUGGAACUGGAGAACCAGCUGGAGAGUAGGGAGCAUAGGGUGCAUAUCCAUAUCCAUGGUGAUACACCAGAGACGACCCAUUAUCCCCAUAGACUCCCUGAAAACACCAAGUAAAUAACGUAAAUAAAUAAAACAUAGGCAACAGCGUAAAACCUGACUAAAUUUAAGGGGGAAAAACUAAUACUUACAGAAGUCAAAUCAACUCCAUCAGCAUUCAAAUAUUCCCACUCACUGCCAGUCCCAUCAUAACCUACAACAGACACACAUAUCAGAUCACAUGAAAUUGCAAUAUCCAUUAUACAUAAUGUUCAUAGGAUCAAUACAUAAACUUACCACCAUAAUAAUACGAAGGGUAUCCAUUUGGAAGAUAGCACAUGGCGGGAUCCAUAAAGUCCUGCAACACAGGGGUUACGGAGCGUUCAUACGAC
rnacentral:lncRNA from 1 species